rnacentral:rRNA from 1 species
AUUAAGUUGGGCACUCUAAAAGAGACUGCCGGUAGUCAAACCGGAGGAAGUGGGGAUGACGUCAAGUCCUCAUGGCCUUUAUGACCAGGGCUACACACGUACUACAAUGGCCGGUACAAAGGGCAGCGACACGAGCGAUGUAGAAGCCAAUCCCGAAAAGCCGGUCUCAGUCCGGAUUGGAGUCUGCAACUCGACUCCAUGAAGUUGGAAUCGCUAGUAAUCGUGGAUCAGCACGCCACGGUGAAUUACCGGUUCCCGGGCCUU